rnacentral:lncRNA from 1 species
ACAUCACUUGGGUAUAUACAUCACUUAGGUACAUGCCACGUUAUCAAAAGAAAUGUACAUCACUAAAAUUUCUCUAGGUCGGGAUUACUCUGGAUGCUGGACCAAACACUAGUUUUCUAUUAACCUGCACACGAAAACAACCGUACGCUGAGUAUGGGAAUACUCAGUGGUAUUACCAUAAUUCAAAUUAAUAACAUUAAUCGAUAAAUUAUAUACAUUUAAUUUAUGUCUACAAUUAUUCAUUAAUUAUCUCAUACUUUAAAUCAACUUGAUCAUUAAUAACAUUAAGCAAUAUUUCAAUCUUAUAUUUAAUUAUACUUAGACCUUAUUUCACUAUCCAAUUCCAUUGGAUUUUUCAACAUGUCAUUCUAAUAACUCAUUCCAAUUCAUACAAAUUCAAUCAAUUUAUCAACUCAUUCAUUAUCAUUUCUAUUUAUAUUCAAUUUAUACUUUAAAUCUUUUAAUAAUCAAAUUAAACAUUUAAACUAAUAUGUUUCAAUAAUAAUAAAAAUAAAAAUAAUAACUAAUUUUAUAAAAUUAUAUUCAAAUUAACUCAUACACUAUUUCUUAAUUCAAUUUAUACCAUUAAUCUUUCGAUAAACAUUUCAUAUAUUAAAUCAACUUGUUUCAACAACAACAAUAAUAAUAACUAUCUUUCAAUUCGAUUCGUUCAUUUUUAAUCAAUUUACACUUAUAAUCUUUUAACACUCAAUUUAUACAUUAAAUCCAUAAAUAAAUUUCAAUAACUUGUAUUCAAUUAAAUUCACAUAUUAUUUCACUAUUUCAAAUCAUUUUAUUUUCACUUCUCAUUUCUCAACAAUAGCUAUUUCAGUUUGCUUUUCUUUACUAAUAUUUUUACAUCAUCUCAUACUACCAAAACCAUUUCAUGAACUAUAUCAUUAUCUAUUUCUUGAACCCAAGGUUCAUACAUUUCAUUUUCUAUAUAUCAAUUUAAUAUCUCUUUUCGAUUCAUAUUCAAGAUCAUUCAAUAAAAUUUAUAUUAUCAAAAUUAUUCAUUUACCCCUAUUAACUUGAUUCGGACUCGGCAGAUACACGGAUUCCAACCAACAGACCAGUACGACACAUUGUGCCUAAAACGGUACAUAGUACCUAAACAGUAAUCAAUAACGAUAGUAGUGACAGUAACAGUAACAGUAUUUCAACACACAAAGUGCUGAAUCUGUAACAGUAACGGUAACAGUAUUCGACACACAAAGUGCCGAAUCGGUAACAAUAACAGUAGUCGGUACAUAAGUGCCUGAUCAAUAAGCCGGUAAAAACCCGUACUCUUCCAUAUCCUAUGGCAUGCCAACUAUAUCCGACUAGCCCGACUAGUUAAUAGGGUAUUUAAUUCACUUUCCAGUACAAUUUCCAUCUUAGUUCAAUAUCAAUUAUAAUUCCUUAUUUCAAUCAGUUUCACAGUAUUGUAGUAAUUCAUUACUUCAGUAAUUUCACAGAUCAAUGCAGUACACAUAACAAUAUUCAGUAUUCCAUAAUUCAGUUUAGUAUCAGUCUCAAUUUCAAUACCCAAUCAUAUCAUUAGUAAUUUCCAUUCAAUUCACAUACAAUUCAAUAUCAUUUAAUUCAAUAUCAAUAUUCACAUUAUUUUUAUUUACUAAACAUAUUAUUCAAAAUUCAAACAAUUGCUAUUAAUAAAUUCAAUAUCAAUACGUAUUUAUCAUUCAAUUCAAUCAUGAUACUUAACUCAAAUUGCUUAUCAUGUAUAUUAAUUUAAAUUUUAAAAAUUAAUAAUUAAAUUCGAAUUAUAGUAAUACUAACUGAAAUUUUCUCGAAUCACUCAUUGUCUACCUUCUCCUUUCCUUUCUUGGACAAUGACUCUUGCACGACAUUAGCUACGUAAUUAAACAAUUAAAAAUCAUUAAUACACAAAUUCAUCAAAAUAUAUCCAUUUAUACCUAAACUUUACCUAAAAUCUAAUUUAAUCCAUUAUCAAUACUAAUUUUAUUUUCCCAAUCUAAAUCCAUAUUAUCUUUAAAUUCUUACUAUAAACUCAUUUUAACUCUUCAUUUUCACCAUAAAUCCCUAAUUUCGAAAUUCUCUCAAUUUAGUCCCUAUUAAUUCAAAGCCGACACUUUAUUUUACAAUUAAAUCCUUUACUAACUUCUAACUUGAAAUUAAAUCAAUUUAACCCCCAACACUUCAAUUUAUUCAACAUGAACAACAUUUAAUAAUCUACUAACUUUCAAAAUAUUAACAUAAAUCAAGUAGUAUUUAUCUCUAGGAUUCCAAAAACAUCAAAACUAAGAGAAAAGGGAUUAAAUUGACUUACCAAAUUAAUUUUGAACCUUAAAACCUCAAAUUUUCCUUUUUCUUUCUUUCUUUCUCUCCUGUUUCUUCUCAUUUCGUCCAUGCUUAAUGUUCUGUUUCUCUCUUUCUUUCUUUUAUUUCUCUCUUUCUUUCUUUUAUUUCUUUCUUUCUUUUAUUUCUUGUUUUAUUAAUAUAAUAAUACAAUAAUUUUACUUAAAUAAUAAGUAAAUACAUA